rnacentral:rRNA from 1 species
AUUGAACGCUGGCGGCAUGCCUUACACAUGCAAGUCGAACGGCAGCACGGGAGCAAUCCUGGUGGCGAGUGGCGAACGGGUGAGUAAAGUAUCGGAACGUGCCCAGUCGUGGGGGAUAACGUAGCGAAAGUUACGCUAAUACCGCAUACGAUCUAUGGAUGAAAGCGGGGGAUCGCAAGACCUCGCGCGAUUGGAGCGGCCGCUAUCAGAUUAGGUAGUUGGUGGGGUAAAGGCUCACCAAGCCGACGAUCUGUAGCUGGUCUGAGAGGACGACCAGCCACACUGGGACUGAGACACGGCCCAGACUCCUACGGGAGGCAGCAGUGGGGAAUUGUGGACAAUGGGCGAAAGCCUGAUCCAGCCAUGCCGCGUGCAGGAUGAAGGCCUUCGGGUUGUAAACUGCUUUUGUACGGAACGAAAAGGUUUGGCCUAAUAAGCUGAGCUCAUGACGGUACCGUAAGAAUAAGCACCGGCUAACUACGUGCCAGCAGCCGCGGUAA